rnacentral:tRNA from 9 species
GGGCUUGUAGCUCAGGUGGUUAGAGCGCACGCCUGAUAAGCGUGAGGUCGGUGGUUCGAGUCCACCCAGGCCCACCA